rnacentral:rRNA from 1 species
GUGGGGAAUAUUGCACAAUGGGGGGAACCCUGAUGCAGCAACGCCGCGUGAAGGAAGAAGUAAUUCGUUAUGUAAACUUCUAUCGACAGGGAAGAAAGAAAUGACGGUACCUGAAUAAGAAGCCCCGGCUAAUUACGUGCCAGCAGCCGCGGUAAUACGUAAGGGGCAAGCGUUAUCCGGAUUUACUGGGUGUAAAGGGUGAGUAGGCGGCGAUGCAAGUCAUAUGUGAAAUUCCGGGGCUUAACUCCGGAGCUGCAUAAGAAACUGCGUUGCUUGAGUGCAGGAGAGGCAAGCGGAAUUCCUAGUGUAGCGGUGAAAUGCGUAGAUAUUAGGAAGAACACCGGUGGCGAAGGCGGCUUGCUGGACUGUAACUGACGCUGAGUCACGAAAGCGUGGGGAGCGAACAGGAUUAGAAACCCCAGUAGUCC